rnacentral:rRNA from 1 species
AUUGAACGCUGGCGGCAGGCCUAACACAUGCAAGUCGAGCGAGCGGCGGACGGGUGAGUAAUAUCUGUGAAACUGCCUGAUGGAGGGGGAUAACUACUGGAAACGGUAGCUAAUACCGCAUACCAUCAGAUGUGCCCAGAUUGGAUUAGCUAGUAGGUGGGGUAACGGCUCACCUAGGCGACGAUCCCUAGCUGGGCUGAGAGGAUGACCAGCCACACUGGAACGGAGACACGGUCCAGACUCCUACGGGAGGCAGCAGUGGGGAAUAUUGCACAAUGGGCGCAAGCCUGAUGCAGCCAUGCCGCGUGUGUGAAGAAGGCCUUCGGGUUGUAAAGCACUUUCAGCGGGGAGGCGUUACCCGCAGAAGAAGCACCGGCUAACUCCGUGCCAGCCGCCGCGGUAAUUC